GUGCCCCUGUGCAUUUGGAAUCCCCUCCAACAUCAUCUAUCGUGGUGCGCUGUAAAGUCUCAAAUGAUUCAAAUUAGUGGAUGGAUGAUUCACAAACAAUAAACACACCAUUUAUUGCUUGCUCCAGCUUGAUGUUUUUUUUCGAAGAGCAUUCGUACGGUCUACCUUCCAAGUGAUAAAUAAGUUCAUCGAUCAUAUUUUUGUUUUGUGUGUUUGUGCUUGAACUUAUGGGUUUGUGGUUUGGUAGCUUGGUUUAUGCGGCCAGUGAUUAUGUGGAAUUAAUUAACAUGUAUGUAUUUACGGAGAAUCGCUUUUAUGACAUAGUGCGUCUAAGCUCAUGCCAUUGGAAGUUGCAUCAGUGGUUGGUGAUAGUGAGUUAAACGCCUACUUAAAGUUCCGUUUCUAAGGUAACUUUUGGAUGUUUGGUGUCCAUCUCGAAUGACGGGGAAGGAAAAUAAUAAUUAUCAAUG